rnacentral:misc_RNA from 1 species
AUCCUCCCGCACGUACAGAUGGACACGAAUAGGCUUCGGCUUAGCGUCUUAGCAGGCGAUUACUCCACUGCUCUCGAAGCGAGUAGUGGUAUUUCGCGAAUUGUAAUUUCAGCACGAGCGGGGUUAAAUCCUUUGCAGACGACUUAGAUGUGCGAAAGGGUCCUGUAAGCAGUAGAGUAGCCUUGUUGUUACGAUCUGCUGAGGGUAAGCCCUCCUUCGCCUCGAUUUCCUCAUGAACUCCAGCGGCCGACGGCCGCGAGCACACGAGGGUUAGGGGACUGCCGCGGGCAGGGACUUGAGGGGCCGCGCCGACGAUUCGGUGCGGCCAAGUCUCGUCUCGACGACGCAAGUACCCUGGAAAGGAUAUUGCGGACGGCCGUGACGGCCAAGUGCGUGUCCGCGACGCCAGGUACCCUGGAAGGGACGCGGUCGAGGCCCGAGACGUGCAACGCAGAACGAAGUGCCCGAGUGCGCCGGGUACCCUGCAAUAGGCUUUAGAGGGCGAGGCGCCAGGUACCCCGGAAAGGGCCUGGGGUGGCCAAGUACCCUGGAGAGCGAUUCCCUAGUACCCUGGAAAGGAGAUGGAUGCUGAGCCCCCUGGAAUGGCCAAGUACCCUGGAGCAGAAUUCCCGAGUACCCCGGAAAGCGAUUCCCAAGUACCCUGGAGCAGAAUUCCCGAGUACCCCGGAAAGCGAUUCCCAGGUACCCUGGAAAGCAAUUCCUACGCACCCUGGAGCAGAAUUCCCGAGUACCCCGGAAAGCGAUUCCCAAGUACCCUGGAAAGCAGUUCCCAAGUACCCUGGAGCAGAAUUCCCAGGUACCCUGGAAAGCAAUUCCUACGCACCCUGGAGCAGAAUUCCCGAGUACCCCGGAAAGCGAUUCCCAAGUACCCUGGAAAGCAAUUCCUACGCACCCUAGGGCGGAAUUCCCAGGUACCCUGGAAAGCAAUUCCUACGCACCCUAGGGCGGAAUUCCCAAGUACCCUAGGGUAGAAGCCUUAAGUACCCUAUAAAGCAGUCUUUAGGUACCUUAGAAAGGAGAUCCUAAGUGUAAAUAUUUUUUCGGUAAAUAAAAUAGACAUAGAAGUAGCUGUAGUAGAGAAGUAGUAGGAUUAGAAGCGUUACUUAUACUAAGGCCUAUAUUAUAAAACUGUUAAAUAGGGUACUAGAAAAUAAAAGAGUUAUUAAGGGACUAUACAAAGGAGGUUAGAUUAAGAGGGGAGCUUUUUCUUAAAAGGUAAGUAGUAUUCUACUUUUAUACAGUCACCUCUCUUAAUAAGGGUAGAAGAUAAGAUAGAAAUAGGCUAUCUAUACAGGUAAGGAUAUAUAGUAACGCCUACAUAGUAUAAAGAAUAGAGUGUCUAAGUAUAGUAGUAAAAGUAAAUAGUACUAAGACUAGAAUAAUAUAUACUUAUAUAUUAGAUUCUAAGACGUAUAUACAAGAGAGAAGCUUUAAUGCUUAUAGUAGACUAUAGGUUUAUAAAGAAUAGAGAUAAGUAAAGACGGAGAUAAAGGCAGACCUCUAAAGGAAAGCUACUUUAUGGAAAGGAAGUCUAGGUACCCUAGGAAGGCCAAGUACCCUGGAAAGAACGUCCUAGGUACCCUGGAAAGGCCAAGUACCCUGGAAAAAGUCCCAGGUACCCUGGAAAGGCCAAGUACCCUGGAAAAAGUCCCAGGUACCCUGGAAAGGCCAAGUACCCUGGAAAAAGUCCCAGGUACCCUGGAAAGGCCAAGUACCCUGGAAAAAGUCCCAGGUACCCUGGAAAGGCCAAGUACCCUGGAAAAAGUCCCAGGUACCCUGGAAAGGCCAAGUACCCUGGAAAAAGUCCCAGGUACCCUGGAAAGGCCAAGUACCCUGGAAAAAGUCCCAGGUACCCUGGAAAGGGACUUUCUACCUUGGCGCCUAGGCUAUAAGUAGGUAGUAUAGGGCUGUAGAGCGCCUCUAGGGGAGCCUAGCGCACCAGGCCCUAUAGCUAUAGCGCCUACAGCGGGCGAGAAAACCGCUGCGGAAGUUCAAAAAACCGGCGGUUGGACUGCGGGGUGGGCGCCCGCGGGCUGCCCGGCACGGCGGGCUUAUAGAGCUCGCUGCGGCGGUUACAGCGCCGUAAGGCCCUAUACGGUAGGCACUAUAGCGCUGGAGAUACGGCGGCCCAAAGCCGCAGGUACCCUGGAAGGCAAUUGUCAAGUACCCUGGAAGGGAAAAAGAGGUGGGCCGCAGGGCGCCGCCGAGCAGCUGGUGGCGGCGACGACGUGGGCGGUCGACGGGCAUACCUGGGUUUUGCGUGCGGGAUCGGAUAAGGUUUUGGUGGCCGUGAGUCGAUUUUUUUGUUUUCCCAUACAAAUCUUUUUUUCGGGAAAUGUUUUUUCGGGACAGAAGCAGGUGGAGCGGGGCCGGGGCGCAAAAAGUGUCGCAGGGCCUAUGAGAAGAGAGCGAGUGCAGCCAACCGGCGGCACAGCGCAACUGCUCCACCCGCUGAGGGUGCGCGCUGUAGAAAUACAGCGCAACCGUCCCAUAUCUUAAUGACUGCUGCGUGGCGUCUCUCUGAACAGCCUCGCAGGUAUCUUCCUCGGUGGCGGGGAGUUCGUAGCAGCAGUCGACGCCCACUGUGGUGCACCGCUAAGGCGGCGCAUCAUCCUGGGAGUGCCCGGAGGGUUUGGGGGUCACGAGCCCCUAGACCCGAAGGAUGGGUUCUGUGGAUGAAUGGCCGUUGGCUAUACUUACACUGAGCAUCGGGAGAGAAACGCCCGCGGUCGGACGCUGAAUAGCUGAAGCCGCGGGGCCAGUUGCUCCUCUUGGGACCCCCCAACCACGCAACCCCCCCGGGGGCACAGCGCGGUGAACGGGGUCCUGGGGAAUUCAGAGGGGGAAAGCGGAAGCUUCCUCUGCGCCUACGGCCUAGCCGGACGGCCGCAGGGGGGGCGCGAGCGCUGUUUCGGCAGCGUGAGCGAUUCCGGUGACUAAAACGCUUCGGCCGCUGCUUGCAGCGCCGAUGGCCGGCUCACCCCGGCGCA